AUUGAAGCCUUUCGGCUCUCUCUUCCCUGAUCCCCGCUCUCGUCCUCCAGAGAUGGGCAUGAUAUAGACGAAGAGGGAAGAGCCGAUUUCUCUCUCUUUUUCUGUCUCUCGUGUUAUUGGCUUCGCCCUCGCUUCGCUUGCAAGCUACCGCCAACCCGGAGCGCUCGAUCCCGGCGAAUUCUUGCCGCCAGAUCCGUCUGCCGCCGGGCGAUCGAAGGGGUGAGGCGGGGAGGGGGGCUUUGGUGUAAAUCUUCGUUUUCUCCUCCGUUCGUUUGAUGAGUAGAUGAAAACGGCCCGGGAGGAGGCGUUCAUGAGUUCCCAGCUCAAGCGGCCCAACAUAUCUCGAGCGGAUCCAAGCUCUGGGCAAACCCACAUGGCGCUGGCACCGGCGGCCUGUAGUGCUCCGAAGCUGACGACAAACGAUGCCCUAGCUUAUUUGAAGGCUGUGAAGGAUAUGUUUCAGGAGAGAAGGGACAAAUAUGAUGAAUUUCUUGAAGUCAUGAAGGACUUCAAGAGCCAAAGAAUUGAUACGAACGGGGUUAUUGUGAGGGUAAAGGAACUGUUUAAGGGGCAUCGAGAUCUGAUCCUGGGCUUUAACACCUUCUUGCCCAAGGGGUAUGAGAUCAAGCUUGCUGAGGAAAAGAAGCCUGUCGAAUUCGAAGAGGCCAUUAAUUUUGUAAACAAAAUAAAGAAUCGUUUCCAGAAUGACGAACAUGUUUACAAGUCAUUCUUGGAUAUUCUGAAUAUGUAUCGGAGGGAGAACAAAUCCAUCCAGGAAGUCUAUCAGGAGGUAGCGGUUCUCUUUCAGAAUCAUCAUGAUCUACUGGAGGAAUUCACACACUUUCUGCCUGAUGCCUCAGCAACAGUCGCUUCACAACAUGGAGCACCUGCUAGACCCUUUAUUCGUCGGGAUGAGAGGAGCUCUGUGAUGGUUGCAAUGAGACACCUUCAUGGGGAUAAGAGGGAAAGAACUUAUAAUUUACAUGCUGAUCGCGACAUCAGCGUUGACCGUCCUGAUCCAGAACAUGACAGGAAAAGAAGACGUUGUGAAAAGGAAAAAGAUAGGAAAGAAGAUAGAGACAGAAGAGAUUGUGAGCGGGAUGAGAAGGAUUUAGAGCAUGACAGCAGAGAUUUGGACAAUGUGCUGCGUAGACGUAAACCUUCUAAUAGAAGGGUAGAUGACUCUGUUGGUGAGCACUUGCAUCAUGGUGGGGAAGGUGCUGAAAACUUUGGAACAUAUAGCAUUUCAGCUUCAUUCUUUGAUGAUAAGAAUGCUCUGAAGAGUAUGUACACUCAAGAAUUUAAUUUCUGUGAGAGAGUCAAGGAGAAGUUGCAUCCUGAAACAUACCAGGAGUUCUUGAAAUGCCUUCACAUAUAUAGCAAGGAAAUUAUUACCAGAACUGAACUGAAGAACCUGGUGAGUGAUAUCCUUGAAAAGUAUCCAGAUCUUAUGGAUGGUUUUAACGAAUUUUUGGCCCAUUGUGAGAACAUAGAUGGAUUUCUUGCAGGCGUGUUCAAUAAAACAUCAUUGCGGAACGAAGGACAUGUGGCUAGACCAGUUAAGCUAGAGGAUAGAGACAGAGACAGGGAGCAUGAAAGGGAUGAGAGGGAGAGAGACCGUGAAAGGGAAAGAGUUGACAAAGUUGCUGCAUAUAAUUCUAAAGACAUGGCAUCUCAGAAGACUCCUUUCUUCUCAAACAAAGAAAAAUAUAAUUUAUGCAAACCGAUUUCGGAGCUUGACCUCUCAAAUUGUCAGCGAUGUAGCCCCAGUUACCGUCUUCUGCCAAAAAAUUAUCCAAUUCCUCCUUCAAGCCACAGGACUGACCUUGGUGCAUCAGUACUGAAUGAUGAAUGGGUAUCAGUGACAUCAGGAAGUGAGGAUUAUUCUUUUAAGCACAUGCGGAAAAACCAAUACGAGGAAAGCUUAUUUAGAUGCGAAGAUGAUAGGUUUGAGCUGGAUAUGUUAUUGGAGUCAGUGAAUGUGACUACUAAGCGAGUUGAGGAAUUGCUAGAAAAGAUUCAGGACAAUACAAUCAAACCAGAGAGUCCAGUUCGCAUUGAAGACCAUUUUACUUCGCUAAACUUGAGAUGCAUUGAAAGAUUAUAUGGUGAUCAUGGCUUGGAUGUGAUGGAUGUUCUACGCAAAAAUGCCAGUCUUGCAUUGCCCGUCAUAUUGACUCGUCUGAAGCAAAAGCAAGAGGAAUGGUCAAGAUGUCGGGCUGAUUUCAAUAAAGUUUGGGCGGAAAUAUAUGCCAAGAACUAUCACAAGUCACUUGACCAUCGUAGUUUCUAUUUCAAGCAACAGGACACAAAGAGCUUGAGCACGAAAGCUUUGUUGUCUGAGAUCAAAGAAAUUAAUGAGAAGAAACGGAAAGAGGAUGAUGUGCUUCUUGCUAUUGCUGCUGGAAAUCGGCGGCCUAUAGUCCCCAAUAUGGAAUUUGAGUAUGUGGAUUUGGAUAUUCAUGAAGACCUGUAUCAGAUCAUUAAAUAUUCAUGUGGAGAAGUUUGUGCAUCCUCAGACCAACUGGACAAAGUAAUGAGAAUAUGGACAAGCUUUUUGGAGCCAAUGUUGGGUGUUCAACCUCGGCCUCAGGGUGCAGAGGAUACUGAGGAUGUGGUGAAACCUAAGACUCGUGCUGUCAAAAAUAGUAUGGCAAAUGUUGGGGAAAGCAAUAGCAGCCCUGGUGCUGAUGGUGCUGCUGUUACCAAGCAAAGCAAUGGUGAUGAAAGCAUUCCACCAGAACAAGCAGUUUCAUGCAGGCUGAGGUUGGCAAAUGGGGAUGCAGCAGUUACUGAUAAUGGUUUUCAUGACGUGGAUCGCACUGCUCGCCGAGGUGAUAAUCUAUCUGGUGCUCCACUUCAUGGAAGGGUGCAGGGCAAUGCUCCCACAGCUGAUGUAAUAUCUGGGGCAACCAUGCAAACCGCUUCUACUGAGAAGUUAACUGAUAAUGUUUCUCCUGCUGGUAGAGCUGAACCAGGUCCUACUAGAAACAACCUGGAAACUAUCUCAGGUGUUUGUGCUACAACUUCCAAAGCUGCUCAGUCAGGAAAUGAGAUGGCAGUUGAACCUCGAUCUAGUAAUGAAGUUUUACCUGCUUCAAAGGGAGUGGACGGUGGGAGGCCAAAUGGACCUGCAAAUGGUGGUUGCACCACUGAAAGUAACAAAUUACAUGGACUUAGUGAAGGUUCUGUUGUCCAUAAUAACUUUAAAGUAGAGAGGGAAGAGGGUGAAUUAUCACCUAAUGGAGAUUUUGAAGAGGAUAAUUUUGUAGCUUUUGAAGAUGCUGCUAUGGGUGCAUCACCUAAACCAAAGGACAGUUCUGCUAGCAGACAGUGUCAAGUCAGACCUGGAGAAGUGGAGGCCUGUUGUGGUGAGGCAGCUGGAGAAAAUGAUGCUGAUGCGGAUGAUGAGGGUGAGGAAAGUGCUCAAAGGUCUACAGAGGACAGUGAAAAUGCAUCAGAGGCUGGUGAGGAUGUUUCAGGCAGUGAAUCUGGUGAUGGGGAGGAGUGUUCUCGUGAAGAUCAUGAGGAAGAGGAGGAAGAUGCAGAUCGUGACGAUCAGGAUGCUAAGGCUGAAAGUGAGGGUGAGGCUGAAGGAAUGGCUGAUGCUAACGAUGCUGAGGGAGACAUAACGUCAAUGCCAUUUUCAGAAUGUAUUCUACAUACAGUUAAGCCUCUUGCAAAACAUGUACCUGCAGCCUUACAUGAUAAGGAAGAUAAAUGCUCAUCGAUCUUUUAUGGAAAUGAUUCAUUUUAUGUGCUGUUUAGGCUUCAUCAGACUUUGUAUGAGAGAAUACUCUCGGCAAAGACAAAUUCAUCAGCUGCUGAAAAGAAAUGGAGAACUUCAAAGGAUACUAACCCUCCAGAUUUAUACGCUAAAUUUAUGAGUGCACUUUACAACCUACUUGAUGGUUCUGCUGACAAUACUAAGUUUGAAGAUGAUUGCCGUGCUAUCAUUGGAACUCAGUCCUAUGUACUUUUUACAUUGGAUAAGUUGAUAUAUAAAGUUGUUAAGCAGCUUCAAGCAAUUGCCUCAGAUGAAAUGGACAACAAGCUUCUUCACCUCUAUUUAUAUGAAAAGUCAAGGAAACCUGGAAAUUUUUUGGAUCUAGUUUAUCAUGAAAAUGCUCGUGUGCUCCUUCAUGAUGAAAGUAUAUAUCGAUUUGAGCGUACUUCAAAUCCAACUAGAUUAUCUAUCCAACUAAUGGAAUAUGGACAUGAAAAGCCUGAAGUGACCGCUGUUUCUAUAGAUCCUAAUUUUUCAGCUUAUCUGUAUAAUGAUUUCUUGUCAAAUGCUUCAGAUCGAAUGGGUACACAUGGUGUCUUCCUGGAAAGGAAUAAACGCAAAUUUGGAAGCGGCGAUGAGUAUUCUACUAGCACGGUCAUGGAUGGGAUUCAAGUUGUCAAUGGCUUGGAAUGCAAGAUAUCAUGUAGUUCCUCUAAGGUUUCUUAUGUUCUAGAUACAGAAGAUUUCUUGUAUCGUGUGAGAAAGAAAAGGAGAUGUUCAAACGGAGGCACUGCAUCUUCACGAGACCUAUUCGCAGUAGUGUAUGAUGUAAAAAGACAACGAUUUCAAGACUUUCAAUCCAGAUUUUAACAUGGCAUUCUCAAAACAAAGUGUACUUUCAUGUCACUGGCUGAGAGCUGGCAUCAAUAUAGCGGGGCGCUUGGCUGCAGCUAAGCCAUGGAUGUCGGAAUACAGCUGGCUUCCUCUCACUCCCUGUUUUGCUCUCUUUGAAAUAACAGCCGAGAAAAUUUCUAGUACACAUGCCAACAAAGCUUGUAACCUGGUUCUAUUGGCUUCUGGAGCCACAAAUGUCUGUCCGUGCACUCUCUUUUUACCUCCGAGACACUCUUCAGGGUGACAGCCAUGCAUUUGCUAUGGUCGAUUAGAUGAAAUGUUGCUUGUAGUCUGAGCACUGUUCUGGAGCAAAGUGGUCUUGGCUAAUCAUGUAGGUCAUCCGGUGUUCAUUUGUAAAUGUGAGACUCUGUGAUGGAGGGUGAUUCUAAGAUAGCGUCAAAAGAGGUAGCGGCUCCCGGUCCGCUGCAUUCAAAACGGAGUUUUUUACUAAAAUAAUUUUAAAAAAAUUUAUUUAUCAAAUGAUA